UACAGAGGUCUCAAGCGUUGUUCGGAUUCAUUGGGCGUAAAGGGUGUGUAGGUGGCGCGCUAAGUCGGGUGUGAAAUUUCGGAGCUUAACUCCGAAACUGCAUUCGAUACUGGCGUGCUUGAGGACUGGAGAGGAGACUGGAAUUCAUGGUGUAGCAGUGAAAUGCGUAGAGAUCAUGAGGAAGACCAGUGGCGAAGGCGGGUCUCUGGACAGUUCCUGACACUGAGACACGAAGGCCAGGGGAGCAACGGG
rnacentral:rRNA from 1 species